rnacentral:rRNA from 1 species
GGUUGCGAUCAUACCAGCACUAAUGCACCGGAUCCCAUCAGAACUCCGCAGUUGAGCGUGCUUGGGCGAGAGUAGUACUAAGAUGGGUGACCCCCUGGGAAGUCCUCGUGUUGCAACCCC